rnacentral:rRNA from 1 species
GUGGGGAAUAUUGGACAAUGGGGGGAACCCUGAUCCAGCCAUGCCGCGUGUGUGAAGAAGGCCUUUUGGUUGUAAAGCACUUUACGCGAGGAGGAGGCUACCGAGAUUAAUACUCUUGGAUAGUGGACGUUACUCGCAGAAUAAGCACCGGCUAACUCUGUGCCAGCAGCCGCGGUAAUACAGAGGGUGCAAGCGUUAAUCGGAUUUACUGGGCGUAAAGCGCGCGUAGGUGGCCAAUUAAGUCAAAUGUGAAAUCCCCGAGCUUAACUUGGGAAUUGCAUUCGAUACUGGUUGGCUAGAGUAUGGGAGAGGAUGGUAGAAUUCCAGGUGUAGCGGUGAAAUGCGUAGAGAUCUGGAGGAAUACCGAUGGCGAAGGCAGCCAUCUGGCCUAAUACUGACACUGAGGUGCGAAAGCAUGGGGAGCAAACAGGAUUAGAAACCCCGGUAGUCC